rnacentral:rRNA from 1 species
UACGAAGGGGGCUAGCGUUGUUCGGAUUUACUGGGCGUAAAGCGCGCGUAGGCGGCUUUGCAAGUCAGGUGUGAAAUCCCCAGGCUCAACCUGGGAACUGCAUUCGAGACUGCAUUGCUAGAGUAUGGGAGAGGGAAGUGGAAUUUCCGGUGUAGCGGUGAAAUGCGUAGAUAUCGGAAGGAACAUCAGUGGCGAAAGCGACUUCCUGGACCAAUACUGACGCUCAUGUGCGAAAGCGUGGGGAGCAAACAGG